UACGGAGGGGGCGAGCGUUAUUCGGAAUUAUUGGGCGUAAAGGGCGCGUAGGCGGCCGGAUAAGUCAAAGGUGAAAUCCCUCGGCUCAACUGAGGAACUGCCUUUGAAACUGUUUGGCUCGAGUCCGGGAGGGGGUAGCGGAAUUCCCAGUGUAGAGGUGAAAUUCGUAGAUAUUGGGAAGAACACCGGUGGCGAAGGCGGCUCUCUGGACCGAGACUGACGCUGAGGCGCGAAAGCGUGGGGAGCAAACAGG
rnacentral:rRNA from 1 species